rnacentral:rRNA from 1 species
GAAACCAACAGGGAUUGCCCUAGUAACGGCGAGUGAAGCGGCAACAGCUCAAAUUUGAAAUCUGGCCUCGUGGUCCGAGUUGUAAUUUGUAGAGGAUGCUUUUGGUGCGGUGCCUUCCGAGUUCCCUGGAACGGGACGCCAGAGAGGGUGAGAGCCCCGUACGGUUGGACACCUACCCUAUAUAUAGCUCCUUCGACGAGUCGAGUAGUUUGGGAAUGCUGCUCUAAAUGGGAGGUAAAUUUCUUCUAAAGCUAAAUACCGGCCAGAGACCGAUAGCGCACAAGUAGAGUGAUCGAAAGAUGAAAAGCACUUUGAAAAGAGGGUUAAAUAGCACGUGAAAUUGUUGAAAGGGAAGCGUUUGCGACCAGACUUUUUCCAGGGGGAUCAUCCGGUGUUCUCACCGGUGCACUCCGCCUGGUUUAGGCCAGCAUCGGUUCUCUUAGGGGGAUAAAGGCUUGGGGAACGUAGCUCCUUCGGGAGUGUUAUAGCCCCUUGCGUAAUACCUUCGGGGGACCGAGGAUCGCGCUCUGCAAGGAUGCUGGCGUAAUGGUCGUCAACGACCCGUCUUGAAACACGGACCAAGGAGUCGAACAUUUGUGCGAGUGUUUGGGUGUUAAACCCUCACGCGUAAUGAAAGUGAACGGAGGUGAGAGCCCUUACGGGUGCAUCAUCGACCGAUCCUGAUGUCUUCGGAUGGAUUUGAGUAAGAGCAUAACUGUUCGGACCCGAAAGAUGGUGAACUAUGCGUGGAUAGGGUGAAGCCAGAGGAAACUCUGGUGGAGGCUCGCAGCGGUUCUGACGUGCAAAUCGAUCGUCAAAUCUGCGCAUGGGGGCGAAAGACUUAUCGAACCAUCUAGU